GACGAACGCUGGCGGCGUGCCUAAUACAUGCAAGUAGAACGCUGAAGGAGGAGCUUGCUUCUCUGGAUGAGUUGCGAACGGGUGAGUAACGCGUAGGUAACCUGCCUGGUAGCGGGGGAUAACUAUUGGAAACGAUAGCUAAUACCGCAUAAGAGUAGAUGUUGCAUGACAUUUGCUUAAAAGGUGCAAUUGCAUCACUACCAGAUGGACCUGCGUUGUAUUAGCUAGUUGGUGGGGUAACGGCUUACCAAGGCGACGAUACAUAGCCGACCUGAGAGGGUGAUCGGCCACACUGGGACUGAGACACGGCCCAGACUCCUACGGGAGGCAGCAGUAGGGAAUCUUCGGCAAUGGACGGAAGUCUGACCGAGCAACGCCGCGGGAGUGAAGAAGGUUUUCGGAUCGUAAAGCUCGGUUGUAAGAGAAGAACGAGUGUGAGAGUGGAAAGUUCACACUGUGACGGUAUCUUACCAGAAAGGGACGGCUAACUACGUG
rnacentral:rRNA from 1 species